UUUUUACACACAAACACACAUACACAAGAAGUCCUUUCACAUCAUGUUUUCAGUCCGUGCUACCUCAAUCCCAUCUAAACAAAGCAUGUAAGCUGCAGAAUGAGUUAACGUGUCAUCUUUGUGCCAAACCAUGGUCAAACAUUCAUCAACGUGUCCCUUCAAAUCGUAGAAAGUAGUUAGAAAGAAAAAACAAAACAGAAUAUAGACAGAUAGGAGGCAGAUCUGAAAAGAAGUAUAUCUUGUCACCUCCUCAACACUGAAGUGUAUUGUGUGUGCAGGUGCACAUGUGUAGCCAGCUGUGAGACAACAAUAACCAAAAAUAGACUGAAAAUGGCGCUAAAACAGACGUGUGAACGGGCCUGCUGUGACAUUUCUCUUGUCUGCAUUAGUCAUGUGAAUCCCUCCGGUUCUAGAACACCUCCCCAGGACCCAAUACUGUUCUUCCGAGCCUUUCCACACAAAACACAGUGCUAUUUACGGCCCUCAGCAGGGACUAUGCCACGUCUCUGCAGAUUAACUUGUUAAAAACGGCAAAGAGAAACUGCAUCAAUCUGAGGCCCUCACAAAAAGUGUGUAAAUGGGCAUUGAAUAGGCCAACCCAGAUGUGUAUGACUAUCUUUAUUAUGCAGAAUACAAAAAAACAACAUUUUUUUUGAAGAAUAUAUCAGCUCUGUAGGUCACAAUGCAAGUGAAUGGGUACCAACAUUUUGAAGUCUCAAUCACAUAAACCACUGGAGUUGUAUGAUUAUUUUUAUGCUGCCUUUAUCUGCUUUUUUGAGCUUCAAAGUUCAGGUCUGCAUUGUACAGGCCUUAAGAGCUGGAAUAUUCUUAAAAAAUUAUUUGUUUGUGUUCAGCUGAAGAAAGAAAUUCAUGAUGACAGAAUUUUCUUUUUUUGGGUGAACUAUCCCUUUAAAAUGAAGUAUGCAAUUGCACUUUUAAGGAUGCAACGGACAAGAUUUUCACCCAAAAAUUACCUAAAUAUUAAUGUUGUUCCAAUCGCAUGCCAUUGGAGGAUUGAAAUAUGAUGCAUGAGUUGCACUGACUACUUUAUGAUCAUUUUGGCCACUUUUUUAGGCUUUGAAGUGAAUCACUAUCAACUCAUUGUAUUGAAAAGAGGGACCAAGAUAUUCAUAACCAGCUAUUCCAGGCUGGGACACCAGUGAACUACCUUAGGCUGAUUGAAGGUGGGGGUUUAUCUUCAGCAGGGACGAACUAUUGCACAUAGCAAUAUGUCAAGAAACAACAUGGAGGAAAGGAUUGUGGGUCAUUUUGUGCACUAAUUUGCACAGAAUAGGCUAAAGAGUCUAAAAAAUAAGCAUGAGACAUUGGCAACAGUAGCUUCUGCAGCAGAAUUGAGGGUAACGUGAUAAAAGUAACAUGUGUUCUGUAAUCAGAUUACUUUUCAAGUAACGAGUAAAGUAAUGCAAUAUUUUUUAUUUGAUAUUUUCAUAAUAUCCCAGUUAUUUUUUUAAAUAAGUACACCUCUACUUACCCCGUAUUGUUAUAAAUCAGGAGUAAAAGUGUGCAAACUUCGAGGACGGGCAUGAUGGGCAUUGCAGUUCAAGAGAGCGGGAGGCUUACUAGAGAUGUUCAAUGAGGUUGUAGUCUGUGUGUGUGUGUGUGUGUGUGUGCAUGAUGGGCAUUGUAGUUCUAGAGAGCGGGAGGCUUACUAGAGAUGUUCAAUGAGGUUGUAGUCUGUGUGUGUGUGUGUGUGUGUGUGUGUGUGUGUGUGUGCAUGAUGGGCAUUGUAGUUCUAGAGAGCGGGAGGCUUACUAGAGAUGUUCAAUGAGGUUGUAGUCUGUGUGUGCAUGAUGGGCAUUGUAGUUCUAGAGAGCGGGAGGCUUACUAGACAUGUUCAAUGAGGCUGUUGUCUGUGUGUGUGUGUGUGUGUGUGCAUGAUGGGCAUUGUAGUUCUAGAGAGCGGGAGGCUUACUAGAGAUGUUCAAUGAGGUUGUUGUCUGUGUGUGCAUGAUGGGCAUUGUAGUUCUAGAGAGCGGGAGGUUUACUAGAGAUGUUCAGUGAGGUUGUUGUCUGUGUGUGUGUGUGCAUGAUGGGCAUUGUAGUUCUAGAGAGCGGGAGGCUUACUAGAGAUGUUCAAUGAGGUUGUUGUCUGUGUGUGCAUGAUGGGCAUUGUAGUUCUAGAGAGCGGGAGGUUUACUAGAGAUGUUCAGUGAGGUUGUUGUCUGUGUGUGUGUGUGCAUGAUGGGCAUUGUAGUUCUAGAGAGCGGGAGGCUUACUAGAGAUGUUCAAUGAGGUUGUUGUCUGUGUGUGCAUGAUGGGCAUUGUAGUUCUAGAGAGCGGGAGGUUUACUAGAGAUGUUCAGUGAGGUUGUUGUCUGUGUGUGUGUGUGCAUGAUGGGCAUUGUAGUUCUAGAGAGCGGGAGGCUUACUAGAGAUGUUCAAUGAGGUUGUUGUCUGUGUGUGCAUGAUGGGCAUUGUAGUUCUAGAGAGCGGGAGGUUUACUAGAGAUGUUCAGUGAGGUUGUUGUCUGUGUGUGUGUGUGCAUGAUGGGCAUUGUAGUUCUAGAGAGCGGGAGGCUUACUAGAGAUGUUCAAUGAGGUUGUUGUCUGUGUGUGCAUGAUGGGCAUUGUAGUUCUAGAGAGCGGGAGGUUUACUAGAGAUGUUCAGUGAGGUUGUUGUCUGUGUGUGUGUGUGCAUGAUGGGCAUUGUAGUUCUAGAGAGCGGGAGGCUUACUAGAGAUGUUCAAUGAGGUUGUUGUCUGUGUGUGCAUGAUGGGCAUUGUAGUUCUAGAGAGCGGGAGGUUUACUAGAGAUGUUCAGUGAGGUUGUUGUCUGUGUGUGUGUGUGUGCAUGAUGGGCAUUGUAGUUCUAGAGAGCGGGAGGUUUACUAGAGAUGUUCAGUGAGGUUGUUGUCUGUGUGUGUGUGUGCAUGAUGGGCAUUGUAGUUCUAGAGAGCGGGAGGCUUACUAGAGAUGUUCAAUGAGGUUGUUGUCUGUGUGUGCAUGAUGGGCAUUGUAGUUCUAGAGAGCGGGAGGUUUACUAGAGAUGUUCAGUGAGGUUGUUGUCUGUGUGUGUGUGUGUGUGUGCAUGAUGGGCAUUGUAGUUCUAGAGAACGGGAGGUUUACUAGAGAUGUUCAAUGAGGUUGUAGUCUGUGUGUGCAUGAUGGGCAUUGUAGUUCUAGAGAGCGGGAGGUUUACUAGAGAUGUUCAGUGAGGUUGUAGUCCGUGUACAUGAUGGACAUUGUAGUUCUAGAGAGCGGGAGGCUUACUUGAGAUGGUCAAUGAGGUUGUAGUCUGUGUAUGCAUGAUGAACAUUGUAGUUCUAGAGAGCGGGAGGCUUACUAGAGAUGUUCAAUGAGGUUGUAGUCUGUGUGUGCAUGAUGGACAUUGUAGUUCUAGAGAGCGGGAGGCUUACUAGAGAUGUUCAAUGAGGUUGUAGUCUGUGUGUGCAUGAUGGACAUUGUAGUUCUAGAGAGCGGGAGGCUUACUAGAGAUGUUCAACGAGGUUGUAGUCUGUGUGUGCAUGAUGGACAUUGUAGUUCUAGAGAGCGGGAGGCUUACUAGAGAUGUUCAAUGAGGUUGUAGUCUGUGUGUGCAUGAUGGGCAUUAUAGUGUGUGCCUGAUGGGUAUUGUAGUUCCAGAGAGUCGUGCUUAUCAGCAAUGGGCAGAGCACAAGUCUUCUUUUGCACACCCUGAUAUUUAUGUUUUAAAAAUAUAUUGCUGGUAAAGGAAUGUAAAUCUGAAUGCUUCAGUGGAAUCCAGCUGUGCUCAUAAUUUGCAACGGUGGAUUUUUUUUUGUGUACUGGAGCUUAAAUGAGCAGACAUCAUAAACUUUGCCAUUGUCAUGACAAUCACAGCAAGAGUUAAGAAAUGUGUUCUCAUAAGGUAACAUUUUUAAAAAAAUUUAACAUUCGGGUUAGUGAUACUUUGAUACUCGUGAUUGAUUCAUGUAGGCUGCAUUUAAAAGUGUGUAAACAUUCAUUUUCGUGGUACAAUAUAGCACAGGUAUAAGGGGGGAAGUCUUCCCAUGGCCACAGAAUGAUUAUAGAGAUACAUACAACAUGGAAUUAUCCCUGACUGUUUGUGCAUCCAAAUGGCUUUGUUUUAAAGCAUUUAACAUUCGGAUGAGUGAAACAUGAUUCUUUCAUGUGUUAAUGCACACUGCAUUAAAAAAAAAAGCAGUAAACACGGCUAUGCAGAGGGAUUAUAUGACUAGUCUUCCAUUGUCCACGGCAUGAUACUCAUUCAAUUCACUGACUUAUGCAGCCGAACUGCUCAGUGAUACAGCUCACCUUAACUGGGAGAAUGAGAUGAGAAAAGCUGACUCUGGAUUGGCAGCUGUGUGGAUUGGCAGCUGUGAGCAACAUACUACAUGGUUUGUGUACGCAGAAAACAUUUCUUAAUUUCUUAAAAUAUUCAAAAUUUUUAAGUAAUUUGAUUCGUGAAAAAGUUUUGAAGACAAUUUAGUAGCAUUAAAAAUUAUUCCAUUUAAUUUGUAUCAACAUGCGCCUUUGAAGUUGUAUGCGAUCAACCAGUGGCAUUUGUACACACCAGGGAUCAACGCAAAACAAG